rnacentral:lncRNA from 1 species
UCCGGUCCGGUUAUAUGUGAAAACCCGAAAAGCCCAAAAAACCGGUUCAACUGCCAAAAUCCCGGUUCCACCGGUAAAAACCGGUUAACUCGGAACCCAGUCGAAAACCGGUUUUCAGCUCAAAAAAAAAAUUCAUGGUCGGAUCUAUGUCAAUGGUGGUCGUUGGUGAUUGAAUCUUGUCGGAAAAGUUUGUUGGUGAACAGAUCUGGGUAGUAUGUGACCCAAUCCAAGUGGUGGCCGCCAUAGCUUUCCAUCGAAGAAACAAAAACGAAGAAGAUGAAAGUGAAAAUGAAGAAAAAAAUGAAAAAAUAAGUUGAGGAAAUAGAGUAUAUAUUUGGGUGGAAAUGAGGAUAAUUAAGAAUAAACAACAAUGAAGAAGAGAAGAAAAGAAGGAGAGAAGAAGAGAAGAAGGAGAUGGGGUCUGUGAAGACGAGAGGA